GAUGAACGCUGGCGGCGUGCCUAAUACAUGCCAGUCGAGCGAACAGAUGAGGAGCUUGCUCCUCUGACGUUAGCGGCGGACGGGUGAGUAACACGUGGAUAACCUACCUAUAAGACUGGGAUAACUUCGGGAAACCGGAGCUAAUACCGGAUAAUAUAUUGAACCGCAUGGUUCAAUAGUGAAAGACGGUUUUGCUGUCACUUAUAGAUGGAUCCGCGCCGCAUUAGCUAGUUGAUAAGGUAACGGCUUACCAAGGCAACGAUGCGUAGCCGACCUGAGAGGGUGAUCGGCCACACUGGAACUGAGACACGGUCCAGACUCCUACGGGAGGCAGCAGUAGGGAAUCUUCCGCAAUGGGCGAAAGCCUGACGGAGCAACGCCGCGUGAGUGAUGAAGGUCUUCGGAUCGUAAAACUCUGUUAUUAGGGAAGAACAAAUGUGUAAGUAACUAUGCACGUCUUGACGGUACCUAAUCAGAAAGCCACGGCUAACUACGUG
rnacentral:rRNA from 1 species